AUGAGCCCUUCAGUCUGGGGAACGCGCACCCGUCUAUCCUGCGGGAAGGAAAACUCCCUUCCCUUAACCGGCAACACGCGUAAUCCCCCUGCAGGGCCUGAGCUAAGGCCUGGGUGGGAGGAGACCGACGGGUCCGGAACUCCCGCUGCAGACCACAUGGGGCGGAUCCGACUCCGGUUUCCCGCUCCCCGAGCAGGAGGCCGAGGCUCCCCCAGGAGCAGAGAUGACGGUAGUAAACGAGGAAAAAAGGGGACGCCCGACCCGAAGGCCCCACUGCACGCGGCUCCCCCGACGCUGGGCACCAGGGUCGGGCUGCGCUCCCAUGCCCCGGGCCGCCCCACGCCAGCCCUCCCCGAUGGGGCCCGCUUUGAUCGCAGCUCCUACGCCCUCGCUUUCCUUACCCGCCAGGGAUUAUAUCCAUAGAGGAAGACCAAGUCAGGAGAUCAACUCUGAGUCUUUUCCUGAUUGAUCACACGUUCACACAGCACAGCCACAAGUAAGCAAAAUGUGUGGUGUAAAUCUCCUUCCUCUAGGAUAUUCAAGCCUUGUGGAAUAAUAGUUUCUCAUUUGUAGCAGUUAUUUGUAUUUUAGCCCUAUUUGGAGGUCCCAUCUGGUAGGCCUUAAAAUGUCUAUUCCAUUUUUUAAAGGUCAUUUCUUCAUUCCUCACAGAUUAUAGACCUUUAAUUCAUCAGUUGUUAAAUCUAAAAUGCUUGCCAGUAAGUCUAUUCCUGGACAAACUCCAUUUGAAAUCUCUUAGGUAAAUAGUUUAUAGGACAAGCAGGAGAAAAUUUUGCACUGCUCUUCCAUUAUUGACCAUUGUCUUACUCAAGUAUCACCUUGUGAUGAAAUCUCUUAAAAACCGCAUAAAAUUAUGUGCAGCUCUUAUUGAUCUUUCUUUGGCCUUUGUCUCUGUGGUCAGGAAUCUAUUCUGAACUUAACUACUUAGCUGCAUAUAGUCCCCAUAAUUGCUGAAGCUAAUAUAGAACUUGUACUUUAAGAGCAUCAAGAGAAUCUAGGUCAAUAGAUAUUUAAUUCAGUUGGAAGUAAAAUGUAGUGUGAUGUAGUUUAUAUUGUGAUAUAGCCUGAUGAUUUGUAUUGAAAGAAAUACAAAUGAAGGAAGAAAAAAAGAAAGUGAAAGUUGCUCAGUCGUGUCUGAAUCAUUGUGACCCCAUGGACUAAACAAUCCAUGGAGUUCUCCAGGCCAGAAUACUGGAGCCUUACUCUCCUCCAGGGAACCUUCCCAACCCAGGGAUCAAACUCAGGUCUCCUGUACUGCAGGCUGAUUCUUUACCAGCUGAGCCACCAAGGAAGCCCAUAUACCCUCCUUUUAAAGUAGCUCUUCCAUAAUGUCUUAACAUCCUGUCCCUUUGAGCUGGGUACAUGAUCCCUUGCUUGCUAAGGUGUGCUAAGCACACCUAUAUGCUGAUACUAUGAUUUUAUUAUCAGGAAUAACUGUAAUUCUUAUUGUGAAAAAAAAAAAAACUUAGAUCAACUUUGGAGAAUCUGGCUUCACUUGUGUAUUUAUGAAAACUUAGUAUAUUAAAGGUAAUAUUUCAAAUCAAAGGGGAAUAAUGCAGUAUUGAAUAAAUGCCAUUGAGAAUAUCAGUCAUUAUUUAGAAAAAGAAAAAGUUUAUUUUUAUCUCACAGCAU
rnacentral:lncRNA from 1 species